rnacentral:misc_RNA from 1 species
AACGCACCUUGCGCUCGUUGGUAUUCCGACGAGCAUGCCUGUUUGAGUGUCAUUAAAUUCUCAACCUCAACACUUUUGUGAUUGAUGGCUUGGAUGUGGAGGUUUUUCUGCAGGCUGUUAAAGUCUGCUCCUCUCAAAUGAAUUAGUGGGUGCCCCGCGCAAACCUAUCUAUUGGUGUGAUAAUUAUCUACGCCGUGGAUUAUAGGAUUAAGGUGUUUGCCCUGCUUCUAACUGUCCUCUGGACAACUUGAACCAUUUGACCUCAAAUCAGGUAGGACUACCCGCUGAACUUAA